rnacentral:rRNA from 1 species
GGGGGACCUUCGGGCCUCUUGCCAUCGGAUGUGCCCAGAUGGGAUUAGCUAGUAGGUGGGGUAACGGCUCACCUAGGCGACGAUCCCUAGCUGGUCUGAGAGGAUGACCAGCCACACUGGAACUGAGACACGGUCCAGACUCCUACGGGAGGCAGCAGUGGGGAAUAUUGCACAAUGGGCGCAAGCCUGAUGCAGCCAUGCCGCGUGUAUGAAGAAGGCCUUCGGGUUGUAAAGUACUUUCAGCGGGGAGGAAGGGAGUGAAGUUACCUUCUUUGCUCAUUGUCGUUAGCCG